CUCUGUAGGCUUUAGCCAAAAGCCAAAAAUGAGUAAACCUAUCUUUUAAAGUGAUGGAGAGAAGCUGAACCAGAAGUGCACGACAGAUGAAAUUCCGUCGUUUUUGAGUUCGUCAUCAUCUCCUUCAAGGUCGUAGAUUUCUGAAAUUCCCUCCUCCAGAAUCCUCUUAUAUAUUUAACCCACUAUCCCAGACACAGGGGCUCGGAAUGGGGUCAAUUAUAGAUCCCGGACCAAUUGAUAAGUCUGUGCUUUAUGAUCAAGAGAACCAUAUCUCUUCAACAAUUUGGGAGGGGCAGGAGCGUAGUGUGCUUAGAUGUCAUGAACACACGUCAAUGCUUGAACAAUGGAAGCUCACACCUAAACAAAUCGAGUUAGUUGAGAAGGCUGGUUUUGGACACUUCAGAAUGAUUCCAACAAUUAGCCUUGACAAUGCACUUAUCUCGGCCCUUGUUGAGAGGUGGAGGAAGGAGACAAAUACAUUUCAUUUGCCUGUUGGAGAAAUGACCAUAACACUUGAAGAUGUUGCACUCAUACUUGGGCUACCAAUUGAUGGAAAACCUGUUAUGGGGGUAACAAGGCCACCUGGAAAAGUGUGUGAAAAUUUACUCGGCAAAGUACCAGAGGACCUAACUGGUGGAAUGUUGAAGCUAACUUGGUUGAAAGAGAGCUUUUCUAAAUGUCCUGAAGAUGCACCAGUCGAAGAUAUUGAGCAUCAUACUCGUGCUUAUCUGCUAUAUCUUGUUGGUUGCACUAUAUUUUCUACAACAACUGGGAAUAAAGUCUCUGCCAUGUAUCUCCCAUUGUUUAAGAAUUUUGAUGAAGCUGGAAAAUUUGCAUGGGGUGCUGCAGCAUUGGCAUUUCUCUAUAGAGCUCUUGGAAAUGCCUCCCUUAAAUCACAAAGUACCAUAAGCGGUUCUUUGACACUCUUGCAGUGUUGGAGUUAUUAUCGUCUCAAUGUUGGCAAUCCAAAGUUUAAUCAGGAGCCAAAUGAUGGUUUCUUUCCGUUUGCGCUUCGGUGGAAAGGUAGAGCUACUGGACCAAGAUCAAACAGUAAUAUUGUUACCUACCGCAAGGCCUUGGAUUCCCUUCAACCUUCAGAUGUUAAGUGGCUCCCGUACAGAGAUUUGGAUUAUUCACCAGAAAUGGAAGAUUUUAAAGAGAGUUUGAUAUUACGGGCAUCAGAAACUGUGCUUAUAUGCUUUGACAAGGCUGAGAGACACCUUCCGGAUCGUUGCCUUAGGCAGUUUGGUAUGCUUCAACCGAUACCCAAGGAUGUACAGCGAUGGGAGAGGAAGAUUCGGUUUUCUGACCAGGGGUUAGAUGUGACAAAGGAAACGAUUUUGCAGCUUAAAGGGAAGAAUCAAGCAGAGCUGAAGGAAUGGAUGGAUCGGCGACUUCAUAUCAUCAAAGAUGAGGAAAGUGUGGAUGAAAGCAUGUACAUGGAGUGGUACGAGAGAAUUACUCGGAAGUUUGUGGGGAGGCCUGAAUCUUUAGAAUCUGAGUUUCAGAGAAUAGUUACUGCUAUGAAAGAAAUUGCAGAUAUAGCUGAUUCAUUGUUGAAAGAUGAGAUGGGUUUCCAAGAUAGGCAAUCCCUCGAUGAGAUCAAGAACACAGCACUUAGUAGUCUGAUGGAUGUGGUUGAAGACUCGAAGAGGAGUAGACGUAAGAUAGCCACAAAACGUAAAAGGGAAGAUGAUCCAAGUCCAACUAUUAGCAAGGAGGCAGCACUUGAUGUUUGGAUGCACUGAGAGUUUUUUCAUGAACUGCACCAUUUCUAUUAAGUGUGUCUUCUGGAAUCAAGAUGUCAAGAAGUGUCUCUGUUGUACCAUACUGAUGUGUUAUUAGCAUUUGUUGGUCAAUCAUUAUUUGGACCCUUUUAACAUUUUUAGUAUCAAUUAUUUCAACCACUUGGGCUGUAUAUAAUUGGUAAUUUAAUUUUAACUCCAC